AAUUACCAAUUUAUCUUUCCAACCAGGCAAAGUACUAUGAAGGCACCACAGAUCUCGACAAGAGAAGCAAAUUUCAUAGGGGGCAGAGAAAUCCACAAAUUCAUAAUUCAGGGUAAUGUUAAGCAGUUAACUUCUGUUAGAUAACCAUUUUUCAACAACCAUGUUCUGUCUAGCUAGUUUGUCAUCUACUGUACAUGUUGCUAGCAAUACAUGUAGUUAUGUCUGUCAUAUUGCGGUAUCUAGCUAUAAUUAACCCUGAUCAAUAAAAUGCAUAGGUGUGAGCAAUUAUGAUCAUUCCAACUGAAUUUAACUAGGGGUCUUUGCUACACCGACACACAGAGGGCUGUUACAAGGGGGGAGAACAUUUUAAGGAUGAAAGUGAGAGGGAAAGCAAAUUGGUAAGAGUGGAAGACAGAGGGGGAGAGAGAAACAGGAAGACAGCACUCCAAAUUGACUUAGACAUCACUAUUUCAACAACUCUUCUCUUCCAACUUGUUAGGCAAUCACAUGUACCUACGAGGGAAGGAUGGCCAGCCUCACAGGAGGGUGCUUUUUAUUAAGGAGGCUGUGCUGACCGAAAGCAUCUGGCCAUUUCAGAAUGAAGCGCAUGAUUGCCAAAAUAAACCUACGCUUCUUCUGGCGUGGGCUUGUCAAGGAUGUGAACAGCUUGGCAAGUGAAAUAACCUUUUAUCAAUCACAUUCUAUUAUAUCUGAAAUGAUUGUGAUUUCAAUGAAUGUCAUAUCAGAGGGCACACGGUGUUUCAAUGUGACUUUGUGCUUAAAAAGUCAGUACCUGUCUAGCCUGCCAGAAGUUAAGUUUGAGAGGGUGAAGACUGUUGCGCCAGAGUUGAAGCCCAUCAAAGUUGUUUCACCAUGAUCGGUAAGUGUAACAAUAACAUUUUUGCCCUGAUAAGUUGUUUUGUAAUGGUUGCUUUAUUUAUUAUAGUGUGUGUUAGUAUCCUUACAAAUAUGAAAAUCUGCAUACUGCAUGACACAGAUACGGGUAAGAAGAAAGUAAUCUUCUCUCUAACAUUUUACAAUGUUAGUGGUGGACCUGAUCAGACGCUUCACUAAAUCCAGGAAUGGCAACCGCUGGUGUCUGACGGUGACCAAUCACUUUACCAAGUGGGUGGAAGCAAUAUCCAUUAAGGUCAGUAAAGGAAGAGAAUGUGCUUUAAACUCUACAUUUCCUUCUGUAACCUAAUUAAAAAGGUUGCUUGGAACCGAAAAUAGAUUGCCACCUCCAAGGUGAUGGACAUCUUCAACACCCACAGUUCUCCUGAGGCCAUCUUGAGUGAAACAAGGUACGGAUAUUAUUGGUUAUAUUGUUUUUAAAAUGUUAUUUUAUGGUACAUAAGACAUAUUUCAAUAUUUUAAAUUGUCAACAUAUAUCGUUUUCCUACCCCCUCCUGGUUUUGGAUGAACGGGCCAACCAGACCCUCAAGACUGCCAUGGGCAAGUCCCUUGACGGGUACCAGGAAUGGUGGGAGGACAACCUGAAGAUAAUUGAAACUCCACCUGAUGUUGUGGAAGGUGUCGAACCAGAUCAGAACGCUUUCGAGGACCACCUUCAGGCACGGACUGAGAAGGAUGUGAAGGUUUUUGACCAAGUCGGACUGAACAUCGACAAAGCGCAGGAGAAACAGAAGGAGAGCUACUUGGGGAGAUUCAAGAAGGGGGCCAAGUGCUUCGACAUCUGGGCAAAUGACUUGGUUUGGUAGAAGGACGAAAGGAAGGCGAGACCUGGGAAACCUCGCUGCUCUUUCGCUCCUAGCUGGGGUCACCAUCUGUUAAGGGUUAACUCGGAAGCCAACAAUCUUCUACAGUUGGACGGUCGACCACUGAAAGCCCCGACGCCCUAAACUUCGGUGAAGCUCAUGAGACAAAAUAUGUUAAGCUUUGGAUGACAUUUGAGAAAGCUUAUAAAAAUGUACCUCCUUAAUUUACCUCUCCAAAUGACUUUAGGACUAUCGAUUAUCAAUACCCAGGAGGUAUCUCAACCAACAGAGCCAUUUAGUUCGUAUCAGUCUGAUUCUCUGUGCUGAGUUGGCGGGGGACCAGCUUGAGGUAGGAUAUACCUUCAAAAACGGUUGAAAAUUACAUAUCUUCCAUUUGUAACACUGCACUAAUCCAUCACAUUAAAUGUAACCUGUGUUUGCUUGUUUAUUACUGGCUCCUACUCUGGCUCCUACUCUGGCUCCUACUCUGGCUCCUACUCUGGCUCCUACUCUGGCUCCUACUCUGGCUCCUACUCUGGCUCCUACUCUGGCUCCUACUGUCCAGGACCUAGGGGUUCUGUCUAACACCCAGACAUGAAUCCAACUGAUAUGCCUCAUUACCAACCAGCCGCCAACUUUUCAUUACAUCUACAGCUACUGUUGUCAUUACCUGCUAAGAAAGUUUUCUUGCUCCAUCAUACUGGGCACAUAAUAUGUGAGAUACACAGAUUAACUCAAAACACUAGCACUGCAAACACUCAGAAUAAAGGGAGCAGCAGUGCCUGGACUUUGUAGUCUCCCUCUUCAAGUCCCCCUUCUGAGACUGGAUGCCUGUUGAGAACAAGUGACACACAGCAUCCACACAGCACCCACCUCCUCUCUAUUCCACACACCAGAAUUCACUAUUUCAGUCUAUGAUUGCCAUGUGAGUGUUCCAAAAAAUGUGGCGAAAAUAAACGAAUGACAACUGUACCCCAAAUCUGUUUAUAAAUUUAAAUAAAAAAAAUUGCCAGGUUGGUUUUCACAGC